GAUGAAGAACGUAGCAAAAUGCGAUAAGUAAUGUGAAUUGCAGAAUUCAGUGAAUCAUCGAAUCUUUGAACGCACAUUGCGCCCGCCAGUAUUCUGGCGGGCAUGCCUGUUCGAGCGUCAUUACAACCCUCAGGCCCCCGGGCCUGGCGUUGGGGAUCGGCGGAGCCCCCCGUGGGCACACGCCGUCCCCCAAAUGCAGUGGCGGUCCCGCCGCAGCUUCCAUCGCGUAGUAGCUAACACCUCGCGACUGGAGAGCGGCGCGGCCACGCCGUAAAACACCCAACUCUUCUGAAGUUGACCUCGAAUCAGGUAGGAAUACCCGCUGAACUUAAGCAUAUCAAUAAGCGGAGGA
rnacentral:misc_RNA from 1 species